rfam:Triticum aestivum genome assembly, contig: Triticum_aestivum_CS42_TGACv1_scaffold_513312_6BS
GCUCAGUUGGUAAAGCACAAGGCUCUUAACCUUGUGGACGUGGAUUCAAGUCCCAC